rnacentral:lncRNA from 1 species
GGUUGACGGAGCCCGGGUUCUUGAUGUCCUGCCACCGCCGGAUCUCGACGUAGUGGAAGAGGAUGAACUCGAUGACGAAGAGCGUGGAGGAGGAGGCGAAGUAGGUCUCCUUGCCGGCGUCGUACCACUCGGGCGCGUUCAGCAGCCCCGCCUUGGUCAGCACCUCCGGGAUCAGCAUCCCCGCCACCCCCAGCAUCGCCCACCGCCCGUUCACCAGCUCCGCCUGCACGAACCACCGCAGGUCCUCCGGGUCCUCCGCCAGCGCCAGCGGGUCAAAACCAUUGUCACCCGCCAGACUGCACACGUAUCGUCCGUCAGUACGGUCGUAAACAUAUGUAACAGCUGCGUGCAUGGGCACGACGGAAGUGGUGUGGCGUGUCGUGUGGUCUGCUCACCUGCCGUCGAGGUAGGCAGGGGACUGGAGGCCGGGGAGCCAGGACCCCUUGGCCUGGACGGCGACGUCGCGGCGGGUGGACUUGGCGAGCCCGACGCGGCCGGAGUCGCCCAGGAACCGGGGGCUCGACGCUGACGCCGCCGGCCGGAGAGCGGCCACGGGAGCGCGGGCACUGACCGACGACAUCUUCUGCUACUCCUGACUAGAGAGCGCGUACGGCAGGAGAGUGAGAGUGCGCGCGUGUGUGUGUGGUGGUUCUGCCUCUCCGCACCUGCGCUUGGCCCUUUGUAUUGGGCUGCGCUUCGGUGAUUUGUGGGUGUGGUGAGCUGGGCCCCGGAGGUCGAGAUGGACGGCGUGUGUUGGCGCCACCGCGUCGUCCGACGGCUGCGAUGCGUUUGCGCCUGGAGACUGGAUAGAUGGACCAGUGGGAGACCGGGAGGCGUAUGUGCGUUAUCUGGAUGAUGGAUAAUGCGGAAUCAAAAGGGGGAUCGCUAUUGGUCGGGGAAACGCACGUUCGGUUUACCUGGCUGCCACGUCGAUCGGACGAUCCGUCAUGAUGUACAGCUGUACAUGGUGCCAUGGCGGGUUGGUCUGUUUGCUUCAACUUUCGAGCUCUUCCACGGGAAACCGGCUUUCGCCCUAGAAAUGGCACGGAUGGUCGAACGGAUACAAGGUGAUGGAAAGAACCCCAUAGAAGGCGGUCGCGGCGAGCCGUCACGAUCCCGUAAUCGAACAAGAAAAUAAGAGUCGCCACACCUAACAUGAGGCGACCUAGACUAUUGAAUCGGAACUCAACCGUGCCGCCUAGGAAAAUCAUAGACCAUUAUGCAUAAAACACAUCAAGUUAUCGCCGGAGAAAGUAAGUGUCGAUCCAAUCCGUGGAGUUCCAAUCCUGCGAGCAGAUAGCGAGGACCAAUGACAUUGACUACGAGGACACGUGUAAAUGAUAGGGGAUCAACGGAUCCACUCCACGACGAAGCCGAAGGCACCGAUGUGCUGUAACUGGAUGAUAUUUGUGUUCCCCGACAAUGCCCCGAGGAGGGUAAUGAUGUAGAGCGUUGAUACGUCUCCAACGUAUUUAUGGUGUUUUUAUUGUGUCAUGCUAUUAUAUUAUCAAUUUCGGAUGCUUUAUAUGCUAUUUUAUAUCAUUUUUAAGAACUAACCUAUUAACCGAGUGUCCAGUGUCAGUUCCUAUUUUUUGCGUGUUUUGACUUCUCAGAAAAUCAAUAACAAACGAAGUUCAAACAUGAUGAAACUUUAUGAUGAUUCUUUCUGGACCAAAAAGGGACCCCUAGAAGGUUCGGGAGGAGGCCAGAAGACGUAGGGAGAGCCACAAGCUCACAGGGUGCGCCCCCCCCCCCCCGGGGGNNNNNNNNNNNNNNNNNNNNNNNNNNNNNNNNNNNNNNNNNNNNNNNNNNNNNNNNNNNNNNNNNNNNNNNNNNNNNNNNNNNNNNNNNNNNNNNNNNNNGACGUCUAACUUGUUUUUGCAGGGUAUGAUUGUGAUGUGAUAUGGCCAAUGAUGUGAUGUGAUAUAUUGGAUGUAUGAGAUGAUCAUGUUGUAAUAGAAAUAUCGACUUGCACGUCGAUGGUACGGCAACCGGCAGGAGCCAUAGGGUUGUCUUUAUACUAACGUUUGUGCUUGCAGAUGCGUUUACUAUUUUGCUAGGAUGUAGCUUUAGUAGUAAUAGCAUAAGUAGCACGACAACCCCGAUGUCAACAUGUUGAUGGAUGAUCAUGGUGUGGCGCCGGUGACAAGAAGAUCGUGCCGGUGCUUUGGUGAUGGAGAUCAAGNNNNNNNNNNCUUGCAGAUGCGUUUACUAUAUUGCUAGGACGUAGCUUUAGUAGUAAUAGCAUGCGUAGCACGACAACCCCGAUGGCGACACGUUGAUGGAGAUCAUGAUGAUGGAGAUCAUGGUGUGACGCCGGUGACAAGAAGAUCGUGCCGGUGCUUUGGUGAUGGAGAUCAAGAAGCACGUGAUGAUGGCCAUAUCAUGUCACUUAUGAAUUGCAUGUGAUGUUAAUCCUUUUUGCACCUUAUCUUUCUUAGAACGACGGUAGCAUUAUGAGGUGAUCUCUCACUAAAAUUUCAAGACGAAAUUGUGUUCUCCCCGACUGUGCACCGUUGCGACAGUUCUUCGUUUCGAGACACCAGGUGAUGAUCGGGUGUGAUAGACUCAACGUUCACAUACAACGGGUGCAANNNNNNNNNNUGAAAUUGUGUUCUCCCCGACUGUGCACCGUUGCUACAGUUCGUCAUUUCGAGACACCACGUGAUGAUCGGUGUGAUAGACUCAACGUUCACAUACGACGGGUGCAAAACAGUUGCGCACGCGGAACACUCGGGUUAAGCUUGACGAGCCUAGCAUGUGCAGACAUGGCCUCGGAACACAUGAGACCGAAAGGUCGAUCAUGAAUCAUAUAGAUGAUGUGAUUAGCAUAGGGAUGCUUACCACUGAAACUAUACUCAACUCACGUGAUGAUCGGACUUGAGAUAGUGUAGGUGGAUCAUGAACCACUCAAAUGACUAGAGAGAUGUAAUUUUUGAGUGGGAGUUUAGCAGAUAAUUUGAUUAAGUUGAACUCUAAUUAUCUUCAACAUAGUCUAAGUCCACUUUGAAUAUAUUUGUGUUGUAGAUCAUGGCUGACGCAAGUGUCAUCCUGAAUUUUAAUACGUUCCUAGAGAAAGCUAAGUUGAAAGAUGAUGGAAGCAACUUUGUAGACUGGGCUCGUAAUCUUAAGCUAAUCUUACAAGCUGGGAAGAAGGAUUAUGUCCUUGAUGCUGCGCUAGGAGAUGAACCACCCGCUACGGCUGAUCAGGAUGUUAAGAACGCUUGGUUAGCGCGUAAGGAGGACUACUCAAUAGUUCAAUGUGCAGUCUUGUAUGGCUUAGAACCGGGACUUCAACGUCGCUUUGAGCGUCAUGGAGCAUUUGAGAUGUUCCAGGUGUUGAAGUUUAUCUUUCAGAAGAACGCCUGGAUCGAGAGGUAUGAGACCUCCGAUAAAUUCUAUGCUUGCAAGAUGGAGGAAAACUCGUCUGUCAGUGAACAUGUGCUCAAAAUGUCUGGGUACUCAAACCGUCUAGCUGAGCAGGGGAUUGAACUCCCGCAAGAGGCUAUCACUGACAGAAUCCUUCAAUCACUGCCACCAAGCUACAAAGGCUUUGUGUUGAACUACAACAUGCAAGGGAUGAACAAGUCACCCGGCGAGUUGUUUGCGAUGUUGAAAGUCGCAGAGUCUGAACUCCGUAAAGAGCAUCAAGUGUUGAUGGUGAAUAAGACCACUAGUUUCAAGAGAAACGGCAAAGGCAAGAAGGGUAAUUCAAAGAAGAGACUUGCCGGUAAACGAGAUUGAAAUAGGUAUGCGGAUACUGACGAUCGAAUCUCGGGCAAGUAACAUACCGAAGGACAAAGGGAAUGACAUACGGGAUUAUANNNNNNNNNNNNNNNNNNNNNNNNNNNNNNNNNNNNNNNNNNNNNNNNNNNNNNNNNNNNNNNNNNNNNNNNNNNNNNNNNNNNNNNNNNNNNNNNNNNNUGUGUGUGUGUGUGUGUGCACACUUGUGAUAGUGCAAGUGAUGUGUGUAUGUGUUUAUGUGGCUUAGUUGAAAAGUGGCUCAUGUGAUCUUGCUAGUGUGUUUGGGUGUGUAGUACUUGCAAAGUAUGUGCAUUGUGGAAUAGGUGAGAUGUGUGUGUUGAGGUGAUGUGUGUGUAAGUAGUGCACACAUAUGUGGUACCUAGCAGGAGUGUAUGUAUGUGUGGAUCCAUGUUUACUUGCAUAGCAGUUGUUCCUUCAUGUUGUGCUUGAGAUUAAGUGCUUGUGAUGAGGGUAUUGUGAUGAUAUGUGUGUGGUGAUAACAGCCCCAUUUUCAACACUUGUGCACCUCCUCAUGUUCAUAUGAGAGAGGACAUGAUGUGUGUGUGUGUGAGGGUGAUCUAGUGAAAGUUGUGCUAGUGGUGUUGANNNNNNNNNNGCAACACUUGUGCACCUCCUCAUGUUGAUAUGAGAGAGGGCAUGAUGUGUGUGUGUGAGGGUGAUCUAGUGAAAGUUGUGCUAGUGGUGUUGAUAUGCAUAACACAUACAUGGGGUUCAAACCCCCAUGUCACUUUUUCAUUGUGCACAUGAGCUCAACCUUUGUAGUUGUUGACUUAGUAGGAACUACAUGAAAUGAUGCCCAUUCCCUAGGCAUGAUUUGGAGUAGUUUCCUCUCCCUUAUUUUGUGGUCACUUGUUCCAAGUAAGUGCCCACAUAUUAUAUAUGAUUUUGGGGUAGAAUCUCCCAAGGAAUCCAGUGGUGAAGUUAGUUUUUCCAUUACGAUACUUUAUGGAGUUGACAUAUUCAGAUUUGUUGCAAGUUUGAUCUUUGAUUCCAUGGAAUAGGUGGAGCCCAAGGGCANNNNNNNNNNGCCAUUAGGAUAAUUUCUGGAGUUGACAUAUUCAGAUUUAUUGCAAGUUUGAUCUUUGAUUCCAUGGAAUAGGUGGAGCCCAAGGGCAUGAGUUUUUGUGUGAUAGUAGUAGGGUUUUGCUCUACACCAUAGUGGUGUCAUAUAUCACUUGGUGUUACUUGUGUGCAAACUAUGCCUAGACAAAGUGGGCAUGUGGUUGAAAAUUCCAGUUUAGUGAAAUCUGGAAUUUCACUAAGUCUGGGAUUCUGGAAACAUUUUCUUCUCUUAUAGAUGAGGAUGUGCUGGUCAUUGUGUUGAGAUCUAGCCUUAGUUCAGUGCUAGGAUUUUGGACCUGAUAUGUUUUUUAAGUUCCCUGUCAAAUUUCAAAUCAUUUGGAGUCUAGUAGGUUGUGUUUUGAUUGCUGUCAAAAAGCUUCAGAACAAAGACAGNNNNNNNNNNAUAGCCUUAGUUCAGUGCUAGGAUUUUGGACCUGAUAUGUUUGUGAUGCUUCCUGUCAAAUUUCAAAUCAUUUCGAGUCCAGUAGGUUGUGUUUUGAUUGCUGUCAAAAAGCUUCAGAACAAAGACAGAAAUUCAGGUGCAGGAAUUUUCACCAAGUCCCUGAGAUCUGAUGGUUUUGGGGAAGUUUGUGGCCUUGUAUAUUAAUUCCUUUUGCUGUGAUUCUUGCUGGUGCUUGUAGGGUUCUUAGUGGGCUACAGCCACAUAUAUUAUUUGACAUAUUUGGUGGCCUGUAGCUAUGUUGCAUGUAGCUCACAAAGUGCUAAGAUGCAGUUUAUGGCAGAUUAUGUAGUUUUGUCAUUUCUAUGAUUGUGUGUGCUUAGUGGAUGUGGUGGUGCUCUUACUUGCUCCAAUCCAUUCAUGUGGGAGUGGUACAUGUCUUGGCAACCUGNNNNNNNNNNUAUGCAGUUUAUGGCAGAUUAUGUAGUUUUGUCAUUUUGAUGAUUGUGUGUGCUUAGUGGAUGUGGUGGUGCUCUUCCUUGCUCCAAUCCAUUCAUGUGGGAGUGGUACAUGUCUUGGCAACCUGGGAAUACCAGAUUUGUGCCAAUUGUGAGUGUGGUGUUGAUUCUUACACGUAGAGCUUCAUAUCUUGUUUCGUUGAUUCCCGUUGAACCGUAGCUCCGUUCGCAAUGUUCUUUAUAUGUUUUUGCAUAGUUUUCACGAGACGCAUCUCUUCAUGCCAUUCUCAUGCAUGUAAAAAUAUCCUAGUUUACAGUUCUGUCCAGAAACUUAUAGUAGUUCUUUUGCUUGUGCUAGUGAUAGAAAUAGUGAUGCAUGCUCAUUUUUCANNNNNNNNNNACAAUGUUCUUUAUAUGUUUUUGCAUCGUUUUCACGAGACGCAUCUCUUCAUGCCAUUCUCAUGCAUGUCGAAAUAGCCUAGUGUAAAGUUCUGUCCAGAAACUUAUAGUAGUUCCUUUUGCUUGUGCUAGUGAUAGAAAUAGUGAUGCAUGCUCAUUUUUCAUCUCAUGCAUCAUGUGAUUGUUGCAUCUUGUNNNNNNNNNNNNNNNNNNNNNNNNNNNNNNNNNNNNNNNNNNNNNNNNNNNNNNNNNNNNNNNNNNNNNNNNNNNNNNNNNNNNNNNNNNNNNNNNNNNNGAACAACAUUCGGUAACCAACCAUAUAACUCAAAUACGCAUAAAACAAUGUCGAACCUUAAGUGUGCAGACCCUACGGGUUCAGGAACUAUGUAGACAUCACCCGAGAGACUCCUCGGUCAAUAUCCAAUAGCGGGACCUGGAUGCCCAUAUUGGAUCCUACAUAUUCUACGAAGAUUUUAUCGUUUGAACAUCAGUGCCAAGGAUUCAUAUAAUCCCGUAUGUCAUUCCCUUUGUCCUUCGGUAUGUUACUUGCCCGAGAUUCGAUCAUCAGUAUCCGCAUACCUAUUUCAAUCUCAUUUGCCGGCAAGUCUCUUUACUCGUUCCGUAAUACAAGAUCCGCAACUUACACUAAGUCACAUUACUUGCAAGGCUUGUGUAUGAUGUUGUAUUACCGAGUGGGCCCCGAGAUACCUCUCCGUCACACGGAGUGACAAAUCCCAGUCUCGAUCCAUACUAACUCAACUAACACCUUCGGAGAUACCUGUAGAGCAUCUUUAUAGUCACCCAGUUACNNNNNNNNNNNNNNNNNNNNNNNNNNNNNNNNNNNNNNNNNNNNNNNNNNNNNNNNNNNNNNNNNNNNNNNNNNNNNNNNNNNNNNNNNNNNNNNNNNNNGUAGACCGAUAAUUUCUGCAUCUACUACUAUUACUCCACACGUCGACCGCUAUCCAGCAUGCAUCUAGUGUUUUGAGUUCAUGACGAACAGAGUAACGCCUUAAGAAAGAUGACAUGAUGUAGAGGGAUAAUCUCAAACCAAUGAUGAAAACCCCAUCUUUUUACCCUUGAUGGCAACAACACGAUACGUGCCUCGCUACCCCUUCUAUCACUUGGUGAGGUCACCGCACGGUAUGAACCCAAAACCAAGCAAUUCUCCCAUUGCAAGAAUCAUAGAUCUAGUUGGCCAAACAAAACCCACAACUCGAAGUGAAUUACAAGGAUAUGCAAUCAUGCAUAAGAGAGAUCAGAAGAAACUCAAAUAAGAUUCAUAGAUAAUCUGAUCAUAAAUCCACAAUUCAUCGGAUCUCGACAAACACACCGCAAAAGAAGAUUACAUCGGAUAGAUCUCCAUGAAGAUCAUGGAGAACUUUGUAUUGAAGAUCCAAGAGAGAGAAGAAGCCAUCUAGCUACUAGCUAUGGACCCGUAGGUCUGUGGUGAACUACUCACGCAUCAUCGGAGAGGUCAUGGUGUUGAUGAAGAAGCCCUCCGUAUCCGAAUCCCCCCUCGGUAGGGCACCAGAAUGUGCCCCAGAUGGGAUCUUGCGGAGACAGAAGCUUGCGGCGGCGGAAAAGUACUUUUGAUGAUCUCCUGAUUUUUUCUGGGAUUUUAGGUAAUUUAUAGGCGAAAGACCUAGGGAAGAGGUGGCCCAGGGAGCCCACAAGCCUGGGAGGCGCGGGCCCCCCUGGCCGCGGCUAGGGGGCUUGUGGGGUCCCUGCUGCCCCCCUGCCCAGAUUCUCAGGCUUCUUGAUCUUCUUAUAUUUCGGAAAAAAUCUUUUUGGCAGUUUCGUUCCGUUUGGACUCCGUUUAAAAUCCUCCUCUGAAAAGGGUCAAAAACAUGGAAAAAACAGGAACUGGCACUUGUCACUGAGUUAAUAAGUUAGUCCCAAAAAAUAUAUAAAAGGCAUACAAAACAUCCAAAGUUUGACAAGAUAAUAGCAUGAAACCAUCAAAAAUUAUAGAUACGUUGGAGAUGUAUUAACCUACGAGGUUUGUAGUAACUUGAUCCGAAGCUCUAAUGAUCACUAUCAUCAGCUUCCACUUCAAUUGGUGUAGGCGUCACAGGAACAACUUCCUGCGCCCUGCUACACACUGGUUGAAGUGACGGUUCAAUAACCUCAUCAAGUUCCACCAGUCUCCCACCCAAUUCUUUGGAGAGAAACCUUUCCUCGAGAAAGGAUCCGUUUCUAGAAACAAACACUUUGCUUCCGGAUCUGAGAUAGGAGAUGUAUCCAACUGUUUUGGAUAUCCUAUGAAGAUGCAUUUAUCCGCUUUGGGAUCGAGCUUAUUAGACUGAAACCUUUUCACAUAAGCAUCGCAACCCCAAACUUUCAAGAAACGACAGCUUAGGUUUCUCUAAACCAUAGUCUAUGGCGUGUCAUCUCAACGGAAGUAUGCGGUGCCCUAUUUAAAGUGAAUGUGGUUGUCUCUAAUGCAUAACCCAUAAACGAUAGUGGUAAUUCGAUAAGAGACAUCAUAGUAUGCACCAUAUCAUAAUAGGGUGUGGCUAUGACGUUCACACACAUCAUCACACUAUGGUGUUCCAGGUGGCAUGAACUGCGAAACAAUUUUCACAUUGUCUUAACUGCGUACCAAAAACUCGCAACUCAGAUAUUCAUCUCUAUGAUCAUAUCGUAGACAGUUUAUCCACUUGUCACAACGAUCUUCACUCUGAAAUAGCUUUGAACUUUUCAAUAUUUCAGACUUGUGAUUCAUCAAGUAAAUACUCGUGUAUCUACUCAAAUCGUCAGUGAAGUAAGAACAUAACGAUAUCCACUGCGUGCCUCAGCACUCAUUGGACUGCACACAUCAAAAAUGUAUUACUCCCAACAAGUUACUCUCUUGUUUCAUGUAGCAUGAUCUGCAUGUCUCAAGUGAUUCAAAAUCAAGUGAGCCCAAACGGUCCAUCCGCAUGGAGUUUCUUCAUGCGUUUAUACCAACAAGUAUGGUUUGCAUGUUUCAAUCGUUUCAAAAAAUGAGUGAGUACAAAGAUCCAUCAGCAUGGAGCUUCUUCAUGCAUUUUAUACCAACAUGACUCAAGUGGCAGUGCUACAACUAAGUGGUACUAUCAUUAUAACUUUGUAUCUUUUGGCACCAAUAUUAUGAACAUGUGUAACACUAUGAUCGAGAUUCAAUAAACCAUUGAGGGUAAUUAUUCAAGCAAAUAGAAUAACUAUUAUUCUCUUUAAUUGAAUAAUUGUAUUGCAAUGAACACGAUCCAAUCAUGUUCAUGAUUAACGCAAUCACCAAAUAACAAUUAUUUAAGUUUUACCACCAAUCUGGAUGAUAGAGGGAGCGUGCGAUGUUUGAUCACAUCAACCUUGGAAACACUUCCAACACGUAUUGUCACCUCGCCUUUAGCUAGUCUCCGUUUAUACCGUAGCUUUCAUUUCGAGUUACUAAUCACUUAGCAACCGAACCGGUAUCGAAUACCCUCGUGCUACUAGGAGUAAAGUACACAUCAAUAUCAUGCAUAUCAAAUAUACUUCUGUCGACUUUGCCAGCCUUCUUAUCUACCAAGUAUCUAGGGUAGCUCCGCCUCACUGACCGUUCCCCUCAUAACAGAAGCACUCAGUCUCGGGUUUGGGUUCAAUUUUGGGUUUCUUCAUUAGAGCAGCAACUUGUUUGCCGUUUCAUGAAGUAUCCCUUCAAGCCCUUACCCUUCUUGAAACUAGUGGUUUUACUAAGCAUCAACAAUUGAUGCUCCUUCUUGAUUUCUACUUUCACAGUGUCAAACAUUGCAAAUCACUCAAGGAUCAUCAUAUCUAUCCUUGAUUUGUUUAUAGUUCAUCACGAAGCUCUAGCAGCUUAGUCGCAGUGACUUUGGAGAACCAUCACUAUCUCAUCUGGAAGAUUAACUCCCACUUGAUUCAAGCGAUUGUUGUACUGAGACAAUCUGAGAACAUGCUCAACGAUUUGAGCUUUUCUCCUUUACUUUGUAGGCAAAGAAUCUUGUCGGAGGUCUUAUAUCUCUCAACAAGGGCACGAGCAUGAAAUCUCAAUUUCAUCUCUUUGAACAUCUCUUAUGUUCUGCGAUGUUUUCAAAACGUCUUCAGUGCCUUGCUUCUAAGCCAUUAAGUAUUGCGCACUGAACUAUUAUGUAGUCAUCAAAGACGUGUAUGUCAGAUGUUUGCAGCAUCCACAAACAACACCUGAGGUGCAGCACACCAAGUGGUGCAUUAAGGACAUAAGACUUCUGCGCAACAAUGAGGACAAUACUCAGUUUUACGGACUGAGUCCGCAAAGUUGCUACUAUCAACUUUGAACUAAAUUUUCUCUAGGAACAUAUAAAAACAGUAGAGCUAUAGCGCAAGCUACAUCGUAAUUUGCAAAUACCAUUGGACUAUGUUCAUGAUAAUUAGUUCAAUUAAUCAUAUUACUUAAGAACUCCCACUCAAAAAGUACAUCUCUCUAGUCAUUUGAGUGGUACAUGAUCCGAAUCCACUAUCUCAAGUCCGAUCAUCACGUGAGUCGAGAAUAGUUUCAGUGGCAAGCAUCUCUAUGCUAAUCAUAUCAACUAUACGAUUCAUGCUCGACCUUUCGGUCUCUUGUGUUCCGGGGCCAUGUCUGCACAUGCUAGGCUCGUCAAGUUUUACCCGAGUGUUCCGCGUGUGCAACUGUUUUGCACCCGUUGUAUGUGAACGUUGAGUCUAUCACACCCGAUCAUCACGUGGUGUCUCGAAUCAACAAACUGUAGCAACGGUGCAGAGUCGGGGAGAACACAAUUUCGUCUUGAAAUUUUAGUGAGAGAUCACCACAUAAUGCUAUCGUCGUUCUAAGCAAAAUAAGGUGCAUAAAAGGAUUAACAUCACAUGCAAUUCAUAAGUGAAUGAUAUGGCCAUCAUCACGUGCUUCUUUAUCUCCAUCACCAAAGCAUCGACAUGAUCUUCUUGUCACCGGUGCCACACCAUGAUCUCCAUCAACGUGUCGCCAUCGGGGUUGUCGUGCUACUUAUGCUAUUACUACUAAAGCUACGUCCUAGCAAUAUACUAAACGCAUCUGCAAACACAAACGUUAGUUUAAAGACAACCCUAUGGCUCCUGCGGGUUGCCGUACCAUCGACGUGCAAGUCGAUAUUAACUAUUACAACAUGAUCAUCUCAUACAUCCAAUAUAUCACAUCACGUCAUUGGCCAUAUCAUAUCACAAGCAUAUCCUUCGAAAACAAGUUAGACGUCCUCUAAUUGUUGUUGAAUGUUUUACGUGGUUUCAAUGGGUAUCUAGUAGAUCGCAUCUUACUUACGCAAAAACCACAACGCAGAUGUGCAAAUUGCUAUUUAUCCUCUCCAGGGACCGCCUCGGUCAAAACCAAUUCAACUAAAGUUGAAGAAACCGACACCCGCCAGUCAUCUUUAUGCAACGAGGUUGCAUGUCAAUCGAUGAAACUAGUCUUUUGUAAGCAUACGAAUAAUGUCGGUCCGGGCCGCUUCAAUCCAAAAAUACCGCCAAAUUGAGAAAAGACUCAGGAGGGCAGCAAAUCGAACAUCACCGUCCAGAAAACCCUUUGUGUUCUACUCGAGAUUACAUCUACGCAUGAACCUAGCUCAUGAUGCCUAUGUUGGGGAACGUCGCAUGGGAAACAAAAAAUUUCCUACGCGCACGAAGACCUACCGUGGUGAUGUCCAUCUACGAGAGGAGAUUUGGAUCUACGUACCCUUAAAGAUCGCACAGCAGGAAGCGUUAAGAAACGCGGUUGAUGUAGUGGAACGUCCUCACGUCCCUCGAUCCGCCCCNNNNNNNNNNUCCGUCCCACGAUCCGCUCCGAUCUAGUGCCGAACGGACGGCACCUCCAUGUUCAGCACACGUACAGCUCGACGAUGAUCUCGGCCUUCUUGAUCCAGAAAGUAAGACGAAGAAGUAGAUGAGUUCUCCGGCAGCGUGAAGGCGCUUCGGUGGUGGUUGCUACGACAACAAAAGUUCUUCCCCGGCAAUGGCGCCAGAAAUCCUUCUUGCUACUUCUCAAACAACAACGCCAAAAUUGACACGUUGACGGAGACUUGCUUGCGUCGGUUUUUGCCUUGAAGAGGAAAGGGUGAUGCAGCACAGGAGCAGUAAGUAUUUCCCUCAGUUUGAGAACCAAGGUAUCAAUCCAGUAGGAGAAUCUCGUCAAGUCCAGAGUACCUCCACAAACAUAAAGAUCUUGCACCCAAUGCUAUAAAGGGGUUGUCAAUCCCUUCAAGAUUGAUUGCAAAGUGAGAUUUGAAGGCGGAAAGUGCAACGAAGUAAAAUUGUAAGGCUAAAAAUAUGGUGUGGAGUAGACCCCGGGGCCAUAGUGUUCACUAGAGGCUUCUCUCAAAAUAGCAAAUAUUACAGUGGGUGAACAAAUUACUGUCGAGAAAUUGAUAGAACCGCGCAAAGUCAUGACGAUAUCUAAGGCAAUGAUCAUACAUAUAGGCAUCACGUCCGAGACAACUAGACCGAUACUUUCUGCAUCUACUACUAUUACUCCACACAUCGACCGCUAUCCAGCAUGCAUCUAGUGUAUUGAGUUCAUGACGAACAGAGUAACGCCUUAAGCAAGAUGACAUGAUGUAGAGGGAUAAUCUCAAACCAAUGAUGAGAACCCCAUCUUUUUACCCUCGAUGGCAACAACACGAUGCGUGCCUCGCUACCCCUUCUGUCACUGGGUGAGGUCACCACACGGUAUGAACCCAAAACCAAGCACUUCUCCCAUUGCAAGAAUCAUCGAUCUAGUUGGCCAAACAAAACCCACAACUCGAAGAGAAUUACAAGGAUAUGAAAUCAUGCAUAAGAGAGAUCGGAAGAAACUCAAAUAAGACUCAUAGAUAAUCUGAUCAUAAAUCCACAAUUGAUCGAAUGUCGACAAACACACCGCAAAAGAAGAUUACAUCGGAUAGAUCUCCAUGANNNNNNNNNNNNNNNNNNNNNNNNNNNNNNNNNNNNNNNNNNNNNNNNNNNNNNNNNNNNNNNNNNNNNNNNNNNNNNNNNNNNNNNNNNNNNNNNNNNNNNNNNNNNNNNNNNNNNNNNNNNNNNNNNNNNNNNNNNNNNNNNNAUACUAGCUAUGGACCCGUAGGUCUAUGGUGAACUACUCACGCAUCAUCGGAGAGGUCAUGGUGUUGCUGAAGAAGCCCUCUGUAUCCGAAUCCCCCCUCCGACAGGGCACCGGAACGUGCCCCAGAUGGGAUCUUGUAGAGACAGAAGCUUGCGGCGGCGGAAAAGUACUUUCGAUGAUCUCCUGAUUUUUUUCUGGGAUUUUAGGGAAUUUAUAGGCGAAAGUCCUAGGGCAGAGCUGGCCCAAGGAGCCCACAAGCCUGGGAGGCGCGGGCCCCCUGGUCGCGGCUAGGGGGCUUGUGGGGUCCCUGCAGCCCCCCUGCCCUGAUUCUCAGGUUUCCCGAUCUUCUUCUGUUUCAGAAAAAAUCUUUUUGACAGUUUCAUUCCGUUUGGACUCCGUUUAAAAUCCUCCUUUGAAAGGGGUCAAAAACAUGGGGAAAUAGGAACUGGCACUGAGUUAAUAAGUUAGUCCCAAAAAGUAUAUAAAAGGCAUGCAAAACAUCCAAAGUUUGACAAGAUAAUAGCAUGAAACCAUAAAAAUUAUAGAUACAUUGGAUACGUAUCAAGCAUCCCCAAGCUUAACUCCUGCUCGUCCUAAAGUAGGGAAGUGAUAAAGAAUUAAAUUUUGAUGUGGAAUGCUACCUAGCAUAGUUGUCCUUUGCAACUUCUUUCAUGUGACAUGAGUGUUCAGAUCCGUGAGAUUGAAAACAAUAGUUUGCUAUUGACAUGAAAACAAUAAUACUUCAAGCAAACUAGCAAGGUAAUCAUGAACUUUAAAAAUAACAAGGCCAAGGAAAGUUAUCCCUACAAAAUUAUAUAGUCUGGCUAUGCUCCAUCAUCCUCACACAACUAAUGUAAAUCAUGCACAACCCCGGUAUUGGCCAAGAAAUAGUUUUCGCACUCUUACUUUCUCAAACUUUUUAUAACUAUCAUGCAAUACAUGAGCGUGAGCCAUGGAUAUAGCACUAUAAUUGGAAUAGAGUGUGGUGGUGGUUGUGAGACAAAAAGGAGAAGAUGGUCACAUUGACUCUGCGUAUCAAAGGGCUAUGGAGAUACCCAUUAAUAGAUAUCAAUGUGAAUGAGUAGGGAUUGCCAUACAAAGGAUGCACUAGAGCUAUAAGUAUGUGAAAGCUCAAAAGGAAAACUAGUGGGUGUGCAUCCAACUUGCUUUCUCACGAAGACCUAGGGCAAUUUUGAGGAAACCCAUCAUUGGAAUAUACAAGCCAAGUUAUAUAGUGAAGAUUCCAACUAGCAUAUGGUGGUGACGAAACGAGAGGCUCUCAAUCAUGAAGAACAUGGUGCUAUUAUGAAGCACAAGUGUGGAAAAAGAUAGUAGCAUUGUCCCUUCUCUCUUUUCUCUCUUCUUCUUUUUUAUUUGGGCUCUUAGGCCUCUUUUUCUCUUUUUUUGGGCUCUUUGGCCUCUUUUUUUAUUUUAUUUCCUCACAUGGGACAAUGCUCUAAUAAUGAUGAUCAUCACACUUUUAUUUACUCACAGCUCAAAGCUUAGAAAUGACUUCUAUAGGAAAUGCCUCCGGCAGUGUACCGGGAUGUGCAACGAUCUAGCUUGGCGUAUGACGUUGAAACAUAUCGCUAGCUAUCUUGCGAUCAUGCAAUGGAAAUAUGAGAGUGACGGCACAAGUCAUGAGACGGAACGGUGGGAGUUGCAUGUCAAUAUAUCUCGGAAUGGCUACGAAAAUGCCAUAGUAGGUAGAUAUGGUGGUUGUUUUGAGGAAGGCAUUUGGUGGGUUUGUGUACCGGCGAGAAUUGCACGGCACUAGAGAGGCUAGCAAUGGUGAAAGGUGGAAGUGCAUCUAUACCAUGGACUCACAUUAGUCAUGAAGAACUCACAUACAUGUUGCGAAAUUUUUUAUUAGUAAUCGAAACAAAGUGCUAAACGCAUACUCCUAGGGGAAGGGUUGGUAGGUGUUAACCAUCGCACGAACCCGACCUCAACACAAAGGAUGACAAUCAAUAGAUCAAUUAUGCUUCGACUUCCUAACAUAGCGGUUCACCAUACGUGCAUGCUACGGGAAUCACUAACUUUAACACAAGUAUUUCUAGAUUCACAAUACCCUACUAACAUAACUCUUAAUAUUACCAAAUCCACGCCUCCAAACUAAUUGAGAGGAAUCAAAACUUCUCUUUCUACUCAAUGCACAUGAAUAUGGAGGUUUUUGUAUCCUCUUUGGGUACCUAUCACCUUUGGGACUACUUUCAUAGCAUAAGCCAACUACCAAAUCACGCACCGCCGUGCUCUAACAGAUCUAAGUGAAGCACAUAUAGCAAAAUUGUCUAGCUGAAAAGAUAUAAGUGAAGCACAAUGAGCAUUCUAGCAAAAUCACGGUGAGUUCAUGUCUAUCUCUAAAGGUGUGCAUCAAGGAUGAUUGUGACACAACAAAAAGAAAAUAAUCCUAAGAUACAAGACACUCCAAGCAAAACACAUAUCAUGUGGUGAAUAAAAAUAUAGCUCCAAGUAAUGUUACCGAUGGAUUGAAGACGAAAGAGGGGAUGCCUUCCCGGGGCAUNNNNNNNNNNNNNNNNNNNNNNNNNNNNNNNNNNNNNNNNNNNNNNNNNNNNNNNNNNNNNNNNNNNNNNNNNNNNNNNNNNNNNNNNNNNNNNNNNNNNGGAUGCCUUUGCGGCCUGUGUUCGUUUAUGAUGGACUAGUUGGAGCACCCCUGCAGGGUUUAAUCUUUCAGAAAGCCGUGCCCACGGUUAUGUGGCAACUUGGAAUAUUUUGUUAACAUCCGGUAUUAGAGAACUUGAACAUAAGCUAAUAAAAUUGCCAACUGUGUGCGUAUCCGUGUCUGUCCCCUCGAAGAUCCCUCUUCGAUCGGGAACACGGUGGGGUUAUGAAUGCCGUAGGUAGGUGGUCAGGAUCACUUAGUGAUCAAGUAUUCCCGACCGCUAGUGUAGACCACCUUCACAAUUACUUCGCGUAAGUUAGCCACUUAAUCAAGCUUAGGAUGCUGCAGCCUUAUACACUUCACCCUUACCCUACCUAAUAACAUGACUAGUUCUGGCACCAAGGUCUUAGAUUGCUGAGUCCCCGUGGCUCACGGAUUCCUCCGAAACUCCCAGCAGGUACAGGUACCCCAGAUAUAGAUGAUCCCGACGGCACCCAGCUGGCGUGGCAGUACGACGAGGAGACAGACCGCCUCUACGUGACCUAUCCAGGGGACUGAGGCGUGGUCGUGAUCGUGGGCCUGCAGGCAGGGUAGCAUAGCAUUUCCAUGUUUUGUAGUCCGUAGCGGAACUACNNNNNNNNNNNNNNNNNNNNNNNNNNNNNNNNNNNNNNNNNNNNNNNNNNNNNNNNNNNNNNNNNNNNNNNNNNNNNNNNNNNNNNNNNNNNNNNNNNNNAAAAAAAAGAGCAGGUGGGAAAAGGGGGAAGGACUCCUCCUUCCAAACCUAAUUGGACUCGGUUUGGAAGGGGAGGGUUGCCCCCCUUGGCUCGGCCGCCCCCUUGGGAGUCCUUGGACCCCAAGGCAAGGCUCCCCCUCCUCCCCCUAUAUAUACGCAGGUUUUAGGGCUGAUUUGAGACAACUUUGCCACGACAGCCCGACCACAUAUCUCCACGGUUUCACCUCUAGAUCGCGUUUCUGCGGAGCUCGGGCGGAGCCCUGUGAGAUAAGAUCACCACCAACCUCCGUAGCUCCGUCACGCUGGCGGAGAACUCAUCUACCUCUCCAUCACUCUUGCUGGAUCNNNNNNNNNNAGUUUCACCUCUAGAUCGCGUUUCUGCGGAGCUCGGGCGGAGCCCUGCUGAGAUAAGAUCACCACCAACCUCCGGAGCGCCAUCACGCUGGCGGAGAACUCAUCUACCUCUCCAUCACUCUUGCUGGAUCAAGAAGGCCGAGAUCAUCGUCGAGCUGUACGUGUGCUGAACGCGGAGGUGCCGUCCGUUCGGCACUAGAUCGUGGGACUGAUCGCGGGACGGUUCGCGGGGCGGAUCGAGGGACAUGAGGACGUUCCACUACAUCAACUGUGUUCACUAAUGCUUCUGCUGUGCGGUCUACAAGGGUACCUAGAUCGAACAUCCCCUCUCGUAGAUGGACAUCACCAUGAUAGGUCUUCGUGCGCGUAGGAAAUUUUUUGUUUCCCACGCGACGUUCCCCAACAGUGGCACCAUGAGCUAGGUUCAUGCGUAGAUGUCUUCUCGAGUAGAACACAAAAGUUUUUGUGGGCGGUGAUGUGCGUUUUGCUGCCCUCCUUAGUCUUUUCUUGAUUCCGCGGUAUUGUUGGAUUGAAGCGGCUUGGACCGACAUUACUCGUACGCUUACGAGAGACUGGUUUCAUCGUUACGAGUAACCCCCUUUGCUCAAAGAUGACUGGCAAGUGACGGUUUCUCCAACUUUAGUUGAAUCNNNNNNNNNNNNNNNNNNNNNNNNNNNNNNNNNNNNNNNNNNNNNNNNNNNNNNNNNNNNNNNNNNNNNNNNNNNNNNNNNNNNNNNNNNNNNNNNNNNNUGGGAUCUUGUAUUACGGAACGAGUAAAGAGACUUGCUGGUAAACGAGAUUGAAAUAGGUAUGCGGAUACUGACGAUUGAAUCUCGGGCAAGUAACGUACCGAAGGACAAAGGGAAUGACAUACGGGAUUAUACGAAUCCUUGGCACUGAGGUUCAAACGAUAAGACCUUCGUAGAAUAUGUAGGAUCCAAUAUGGGCAUCCAGGUCCCGCUGUUGGAUAUUGACCGAGGAGUCUCUCGGGUCAUGUCUACAUAGUUCUCGNNNNNNNNNNNNNNNNNNNNNNNNNNNNNNNNNNNNNNNNNNNNNNNNNNNNNNNNNNNNNNNNNNNNNNNNNNNNNNNNNNNNNNUGGGUCAUGUCUACAUAGUUCUCGAACCCGCAGGGUCUACACACUUAAGGUUCGACGUUGUUUUAUGCGUAUUAGAGUUAUAUGGUUGGUUACCGAAUGUUGUUCGGAGUCCCGGAUGAGAUCACGGACGUCACGAGGGUUUCCGGAAUGGUCCGGAAACGAAGAUUGAUAUAUAGGAUGACCUCAUUUGAUUACCGGAAGGUUUUCGGAGUAACCGGGAAUGUACCGGGAAUGACGAAUGGGUUCCGAAGUUCACCGGGGGGGCAACCCACCCCGGGGAAGCCCAUAGGCCUUGAGGGAGGCACACCAGCCCUUAGUGGGCUGGUGGGACAGCCCAAAAGAGCCCUAUGCGCCAUAGAGAUAAAAAUCAAAGAGAAAGAAAAAAAAAGGGAGGUGGGAAGGAAGGGAAGGACUCCCUCCCACCAAACCAAGUCCAACUCGGUUUCGGGGGGGAGUCUUCCCCCCUUGGACUCGGCCGACCCCCUUGGGGCUCCUUGAGCCCCAAGGCAAGGUCCCCUCCCUCCCACCUAUAUAUACGGAGGUUUUAGGGCUGAUUUGAGACGACUUUUCCACGGCAGCCCGACCACAUACCUCCACGGUUUUUCCUCUAGAUCGCGUUUCUGCGGANNNNNNNNNNGGCGGAGCCCUGCUGAGACAAGAUCAUCACCAACCUCCGGAGCGCCGUCACGCUGCCGGAGAACUCUUCUACCUCUCUGUCUCUCUUGCUGGACCAAGAAGGCCGAGAUCAUCGUCGAGCUGUACGUGUGCUGAACGCGGAGGUGCCGUCCGUUCGGUACUAGAUCGUGGGACUGAUCGCGGGAUUGUUCGCGGGGCGGAUCGAGGGACGUGAGGACGUUCCACUACAUCAANNNNNNNNNNNNNNNNNNNNNNNNNNNNNNNNNNNNNNNNNNNNNNNNNNNNNNNNNNNNNNNNNNNNNNNNNNNNNNNNNNNNNNNNNNNNNNNNNNNNCGGACCGUCGCCGUUGCACGUCGAACGACGCGGAACGCCGCCGCUCGCUCCGUCCACCGGUCGCCUCCCUCCGUCCUCGGAACCAGGCGCCGCCGCCGUCCUCCGAACCCGACCGAGGCCGGCGCCGGCCGGCGCCCACUCGACCCCCGAGAACCACGUCCAGGGUCGACCUCCGAGGCGCCACUUGGCCGCGGGCAGGCUGCGCUGGCUCCGGGCUCCGGGCGCGGGGGCGGGCGAGCGGCUGCUAGGCGGAGGACGAAGAGGAGGAGGAGGAAGACUUGACGAGGGCGGAGAGCCAGACGACGACGACGUUGAUGGAGAUGGUCACGUACGGCCUAGCGUCCACGGAGAAGUUGAAGCUGAAGUAGGACGCUCCCGGCGCCGAGGAAGAUGCCGCCAUCUCCAUGUCCAUGGUCUCUGUCUGUGGUAUGCCUGUCUCCUCUGCUCUUGCUGCCUUGGUGCUUCUUGCUUGCCUCUGGGAUGAGAGUUGUCGCUGGUCGCUGCGUGCUGGAUGCUAUUUGCAGAGCACGAAGGCUUGGCAUAUAUAGCUUGGUAGCCUCGCGAUAAGGCGCGAAACAAGUUGGAAGCGGGAUCGKACCCGUUGCGACUUGGGAAGAAGGAAAGCCGGGAGCGAAGAAGGUUCCCGGAAGCGGGGAGGCGUGGUGGAAACGCCGGACCAGACCGAGCGGUCGCCGGUUCGUGGCUUGUGAAAGUGAUGGAGCUGUCGUGCGCGCGCGCGCGGGGGUGUUUUUCAGCGGGUUUCGAGGGAGCUUCGCGGCGUGGAAACAUGCGCACCGGCGACCUGACCGUCCUGCUUUCUCGUGUUCUCGGUUGGGGUUGGCGUUGGAAUUCCACGCAGCCUCUCUCUCUCCUAUUUUAGUGGGCACGUCGCUCUCGUUUCGUCUGUGGUGCAGCCGCUCGUCUGCUACUCUUUCCGUUGUCGGGUUUCCUCCUGGUUGAUUUUCUUUUUGCGACUGAAUUCUGAUUUGAUUUUGAUAGAUAUAUGUGCGGUGGUGGACUGGUCGCAGGGAGCUGGGGGUGGUAUACGGCGACCGGUGUGAAGGAAGGUUGGUGAGUUGGCUGGCGAGCGCUUGACCAGAUUUCGUGGUGGACUCGACCAAACCAAACCAAACAGUGGCGUAGGUCUUUGCGCCAGCGGGCGUGAGGGAAUGCUUGCUCGUGCCCCCACCACCGGGUCGUCUCCGAUGACUGAGGUGUUUACACGCGACAGAGGUGCUAAUUAUGUGUGCUGCCGGCUGCAUAUAGAUCGAUAUACGCUAAAUGGAAACAUGACAACAAAACGUACGUUUGCCCGCACAAACCUUCCUGGACGGCAUGUUUGUCUCACGCUACUUUUCAUCCUUUGUUUUACAAAUUUGAAAUCUGAAGCUACAUUUCUUUUAAACACGAUAUAGAUGCAAGAGCUCAUAUAUAAGAGCAACUCUAGCAUACCCCGCAUCCCGUCGGCCCGUAAAACGCGUUUGCAGGUCGCGCAAAACAGCUUUUGCAGGCUGGCGUGGGCUGGCACAGAUGCGGACCCACCAAACGGAUCCGUAAAAAAAUAUAGUCGCGAAAUAUUCCUUUUUACGGGUCGGCUUUGCGGGAUCUGCUCUUUGCACCGCUGCUUCCCACGUAUCAUUAGCCCGCAAAUAUCAAAUACUCCCUCUGUAAGUUAAUAUAAGAGCAUUUAGACUACUAAAGUAGUGUUCUAAAUGCUCUUAUAUUAGUUUACGGGGACAUAAUUCAACAGCCGAAAACAAACUGAAUUAUUCGAAUCAAACACAAUACAAUAAUCAUCCGCAUUACAAACAAUUAUUCAAAACAUGUCAUGAAUACAAAUACAAAUGAAUACAAAAAUAAGUCACUGUCCAGCCAUUUGCCAAUGGUGUUCAAUGAGAUCUUUCUGAAGUUGAAAGUGGGUGUGUGGGUUUUCAAUCUCCUUGUCUGUCUGAAGAAAAGCUCUAAUGCGGUUUGGGUCUCUAGCUGGUUUAACACGGCUACCCACAUUGUCGUAAAAGAAUUCUAAGUUCCCAAGAUUCCUCGCAAGCUUGAACAAUUUUCACAAAGAGGGAUCGACGCAUUCCUUCUUUGAGUAAAUUACCGGCAAUUUUCCUCGCAAGCUUGAACAAUUUUCACAAAGAGGGAUCGGCGCAUUCGGUACCUUCUCCGGAAGAGGUGUGGAGGAUAUGUAGGAUGUUGGGGAACGUCGCAUGGAAAACAAAUUUUUUCCUACGCGCACAAAGACCUAUCAUGGUGAUGUCCAUCUACGAGGGGGAUUUCAGAUCUACGUACCCUUGUAGAUCGCACAGCAGAAGCGUUAAUAAACGCGGUUGAUGUAGUGGAACGUCCUCACGUCCCUCGAUCCGCCCCGCGAACCGUCCCACGAACCGUCCCGCGAUCUGUCCCACGAUCCGCUCCGAUCUAGUGCCGAACGGACGGCACCUCCGCGUUCAGCACACGUACAGCUCGACGAUGAUCUCGGCCUUCUUGAUCCAGCAAGAGAGACAGAGAGGUAGAUGAGUUCUCCGGCAGCAUGACGGCACUCCGAAGGUUUGUGGUGAUCUAAUCUCAGCAGGGCUCCGCGCGAGCUCCGCAGAAACGCGAUCUAGAGGAAAAACCGUGGAGGUAUGUGGUCGGACUGCCGUGGAAAAGUUAUCCCAAAUCAGCCCUAAAACCGCCGUAUAUAUAGGUGGGAGGGGAGGGGCCUUGCCUUGGGGCUCAAGGAGCCCCAAGGGGUUCGGCCGAAGGGGGGAGGAGGAGUCCUCCUCCAAUCCUAGUCCAACUAGGAUUGGAAGGUGGAGUCCUUCCCUUCCUUCCCACUUCCACUUUUUUCUCUUUGAUUUUCUUAUCUCCCUGCGCAGGGGCCUCUCUGGGCUUGCCCACCAACCCACUAAGGGCCGGUGCGGCACCACUAAGGCCUAUGGUCUUCCCCGGGGUGGGCUCGNNNNNNNNNNNNNNNNNNNNNNNNNNNNNNNNNNNNNNNNNNNNNNNNNNNNNNNNNNNNNNNNNNNNNNNNNNNNNNNNNNNNNNNNNNNNNNNNNNNNCUAAAAAAAGGGUUACUUUUAGUUUUGUAAAACAAAUUUUUAGGUAAUGUUACCUUUUCUAUAAUUUUUACUGAAAUUACUAAAACAAUAAUUACAGUUUUUCUAAAAAAAAUAGUUUUGAAAUUUUGAAAAAAUUAGGUUUAACUUUUUCAUUUUUUUAAGGUAGUUUUAMAAAWARUUACCAAAUUWCARWAAHAAUUUAAAAAAAAUAAAAAAAAUAAAAACAAAGAACAAAAAGGGUAAAAGGGAAAGAAAAUAAAAGAAAGAAAAAAACAAACAAAAAAUCUAAAAAAGAUAAAAUACCAAAAACGUAGAAGAAACAGGAGGAACCUUCUAGGAGAAAAAACGACUGAGAAACUAUAGAAGGUUCCCCAAACCGGAAUGGUGCAACUUGUUAAUAGUCGGCCCAGGUGAUUACCAUAAAAUGGACACAAUUUUAAUUGUAGAUGUAACUAAUUCACAAAAUGAAUCGUGCAUGAAAAUUCACAUGCAUAUCUUCUUUGUGUGGCGCCCGGUUGUACAUCGUGUAGCAUUUGAUCUACAGGCGCUACACCUCUGAUAAGCGUGGCAUCCGAGGUUAUAAUUCUGAUUGUAUGAUGUUUAAAUGAAAGGAGUCACUCUACAUUAUAUGACACCCGCUGAAAGAAGCCACAUUAUUUUAUAUUAAAAUUGAUGUAACUUUUAAUCCUUGCAUCCGAUGAAAAUAUGUUUUAUAUGAAUAUUGUGUAUUUUUCUGUGUUCUACGCAAUGGUGUCAUUUCCAUCGAUGUUAAGAUCAAUUUUCUUGAUGAAAUCUCUGUUGCAAAAAUGCGUCAUAAUAUAAUUGAUCGGAUUUGUUAAGACUUACAAAGUUGACAUGAUGGUAGCCACUGACUUAUAGCUUUUAUGCAUUUGCAUUCUACAUGAGUUUUACCCUAUAUAAUGUGUAUGUUCACGUCAUGUUCAUGCUUGUCAUGUUAGUCAUCUUUAAUAUGUUCAUGUCUUGCAUCUAAGUGACUAACAUGAUAUAUUUUUUGUAAACAAUCUUAUGAAGCUUUAUUUAACUGAAAUCAAUGUUUACAGAAAUAAAUGCAGGAUCAUCGGGUUGCUUAACCACACAUGGUCGCCAACCCCUAGUCUGGUAACAUGCUUCGUUAUGGAUGGGCCAGUUCCAAACACAGUAGGCCCACUUCCACCUCGUAGCCGGGCUUAGUCAGGUCAGUCGUCCAUUGUAGGAUUUUCUUCCACCUGGUCUUCGCACCUCUGAGACGGGGAGAUGCGGAGGCCGUCGGCUUCGUCGCCUCCGGCGAGGGGACCGGCGUUGGCUGCAGCAGCCGCUGUCGUUCUCCUCCCGGCUAUUUUCCCCGCGCUGUUCUCCCCGCUCGGCCGCGCCUUCCCUUCCCUAUUCUCGGUGCGUCCCCUAUAGUCGCCAUCCUCCUCUCCAGGCGGCUCGAUUUGAGCCGGUGUAGCGUCAUAUUGGCGAUCUUCCGCUUCUCUAGCUGCUUCCUACGCCUCUCCUUGCUAGUUCGCCACUUUGCCGAGUCCGAUUGUUUGGGGUGGGCGAAAAUUGGAUAUAAUCUAGAGGGAUUGGUACUUUUGGGGGGAGGAAUGUAUGUGGAAGGUGAAAUGAUGUGGUGAAUUCGUGGCUUUGUCCCCUCUUGAAUUGGAACUAGUACGAAAUUACAUUUGUUUAUUUGGUGUAUAUGUAUGUCGAUGCAGAGUAACCUGUAAAUAAGCAAAGUGUGCAACCUGUAAAUAAGCGAAGUUUGCAAGAUCUGGAUUCUUUUGAUGGACAGCAUCAUGCCAGUUGCAUCGGAUAUUUUGGUUUGGACAGUGGUCUCCAAUGUGUGAUUACGAGUAGAUUUUUUUGUAUGCAUUUCGGGGCAGUGUGGGACGCUGGGACUGUACUCGGCUACCAUGAGCCAUGACAGUAUUGGGAAUAACAUGUGUACUGGAUUACUCUACUAUGGCUGUGAAGAUAGAUUGGCUACUGAUGUGGACCUUAGUAAAUAUUUCUGCAGACUGCAAUAUUGUCUUUUUAAGAUUAAUCAUGUGGACAGCGUGUAUACUGCAGGAGUGGAAUGCCCCUAAGCCAAUGCACGAGUCUCUUUUCAAUGAGUCUUUGCGAUGGACAAUAGUGAGUAUUCACAACUCAGAUAAAUACUGGAAAUAGUUAUGUUGAAGUCUAUUUGUAACUUACUCUCUGUACAGCCAGAUGAACAAAAAAGAGAUCUCUGGACACCCUUGCCUGAUCAGGGGUGGAAACCAUGCAUAAGGUCAUCGAUCACUCGUGGUAACAUUCUGUGAUAAAUCUGUUUAGGUAAUGAUAUGCCUCCCGCUGCGAUAGAUCACUAAGCAUUUGGUUAUAUGAAGUGUAGGGUUACCUUCACAACCCAGUGGGUACAUACAAGUAUUUCUUGAUGGUGGCCUGAACCAGCAGAGAAUGGGGGUAACUCACUUCUUAUGUACCAAACUCAUGAUGUUAGAUUUAAUAUAACUUGCUUGGUUGAAACUUCAGAUCAUCUGGCUCUUUCUUUUUGUUCUCUAGAUAUGUGAUGCAGUUGCGGUUGCUAAGAUUUUGAACGCUACUCUUGUGAUCCCACAUCUUGAAGUAAACCCUGUUUGGAAAGACUCAAGGUGCUUUUGGAGUUUCAGAGUACUACUGUAUCUUGUUAAUUUUAAAUACUCCUGUUAGAUUGGAAGUGAAAGGUUUAGUUUGGUCUGCAGCUCAUUUGGAGAUAUUUUUAAUGUGGAUCACUUCAUCAACACCCUAAGAGGCGAUGUUUCAAUAGUGAGAGCUCCAUUAAAAGAAUUUUCGUGGAGCACAAGAGAGUUCUAUAGCACAGGAAUACGUGCUACAAGAAUAAAAACUGCACCUCUUCAUGCCUCGGCUAAUUGGUAUAUAGAGAAUGUCAGUCCUAUCCUGCAAAGGUUUGUGAUUUUCUUGGCCAUAUAGUCGCUUCUCUAGACCCCUUGAGUAAGUGGCAUAAUAAUGCUAAGAAACUGCAGUUCAUGUUUAGCCCAGGUUGAUGGCCACUGAACUGGCUUUAUAGUAUUAACAUGACAACUCGUUGUCUAACUUCAUUAGUUGGUUACUCUGUGAGGGGAAUCCUUCACCGAAAAUCUCAUGCAAGCGUUGUUUCCCUUGUCAGCUAUGGCAUUGCUGCCAUUGCCCCCUUUUCUCACCGCCUUGCAUUCGAUGAUUUGCCUGUGGAUAUUCAACGCCUGCGCUGUAAAGUUAACUUUGAAGCCCUGGUUUUUGUGCCUUACAUUAUAUCACUGGGGAGGACCCUUGAGAAGCGCUUGAGAUCUCCAGUGCAGGGGCAUUCCACUGAAUUAACCCAACAAGUUGUAGAAGAUUACACAGAUCAGUCUGAAAAGUAUGCAGUUGUACAUCUCCGCUUCGAUAAGGUAAAUGGAAGGGCUUCUGCUAUAUUUGGAAGUCGUACGUGUAUAUUUUUGUUAUCUUCAAGGAAUUUCCACUCUGAAACAACUCAAGCUGACCUACAUUUUUCAGGAUAUGGCUGCACAUUCUGCCUGUGACUUUGGCGGUGGUAGAGCUGAAAAAUUAGCUCUGGCUAAGUACAGGCAAGUUAUCUGGCAAGGGAGGGUAUUAAAUUCACAGUUAAGUGAUGAGGAGCUUCGAAACACAGGACGCUGCCCGUUGACUCCAGAAGAGAUUGGAUUGAUACUAGUAGCGCUUGGCUUUGACAGCAAAACUCGAUUUUAUCUUGCCUCUCACAAGGUUUGACUCUCUGCCUCUGCCGGUGCGCUUACUUAUUCUCCGUAGUGGAAGCAGAAAUUUCUAACAUACGUCACCUAUUAAGGUAUAUGGAGGGGAAGCUAGGAUCUCUAGCUUGCGCAAGCUUUUCCCGCUGAUGGUAGACAAGAGGAGCCUUGCAUCGGCAGAUGAGCUUGCUAGUAUCGAAGGGAAGGCUUCUGUGCUAGCAGCUCUUGACUACCAUAUCAGCAUGCACAGCGAUGUUUUCAUCUCUGCUUCUCCUGGCAAUAUGCAUAAUGCACUGGUAAAUCCUGUUUGGCUUCAGCUGUAUUCGCUAGAUUUCUCCUCUUUCUUUAUUGGUCCUGACCAGAUGAUGGUUGAUUCAGCUGGCCCACCGGACCUAUAGGAAUCUGAAGACGAUAAGGCCAAACAUGACAUUGCUUGGCCACAUAUUUGUGAACAAGAGCAUGGAGUGGUCAGAGUUUCAGCAGGCUGUGCAGGCAGGCCACAAAGGUAGAUACGGGCAGAUCCGGCUGAGGAAGCCGAAGCAGUCUAUCUAUACUUAUCCUGCCCCAGAUUGUAUGUGCCCAGGGUAGAUCGCCAAGUUUUCUGCGGUGCACCGACAAAAGAAAUGUGCUGAGUUACUUGCAGUUUCUAAUUAGGUUAAGCUCAUGUGGAUAUGUAUAUUUAGUUCUGAAUUUUCGGUUGAAUCAGUUUGCUGCCACUUCCAAUAGGAUCUUAAAAUUUUAACCAAAAUUUACGCACUAUACGUUGAGCCUUGAAGGACUCUAAUCUUGUGCUGUUUGCACGAUCCAUACGACGAAGUUGUAGUUUUGGAGCUGAUGUUGUGUAUCUGUGACCUGACUUGAUAUACUGGAUCCUUUUUCUUCUUUUAUUCCGCUGUUCUACUUCUGGGAGUCCGGUGUUCUGAAUUUCUGCUUUGAUUUAGUAUUACUAUCGUCAUGGCGAAUUCGAUACUAAUGCUUCAAACUAGUAGUAUGUUUUGCCAUGUUUUAAAAUAACACGCAUGGGUGAUAUUACAAGUACAGCCUCCGUCGGAAGCCAUGGGCGAAUCCACAAGGACAAAGUUUCACCACCGGAACUUUAAGAUUACAACACGUUUUUGCACUGCCACCUACUCCUCCACACUUUGUACAUCCUCAGCACCCCAAAAUAAUAAUUCAGACCACCUGAAACCUCCUUGGUCGGUGAAAUCGACGGAUUUAUUGGCCGGAGAUGGUCUGGAUGAUGGUGUUGUGCCAUGGGUCGGCCAGGUGCUGCUGCAGGUUCUCGAACGGCCCCUUCCCGGUCACGUUGUGCUGCACCAGGAACCCCAGGAACGCCAGCAUGGCCAGUCUCCCUGAACGAAUGAACGCGCGCGCGAAUACAGAUUAACGAGAGCCGUCGGAUUAGAAACCCGAGGGUUCAGAUGAGACUGAAGAGAGGAUGGACGUACCGUUGGCGAGCUCCUUCUCCUUGUUCUCGAGGGUGGGGGCGAAGUUGAGGGGGUUGAAGACGCUGCCGGGGUAGCCGCACUCGUGGGGCGGGAGGCUGUAGCUCUUGAAGAUGGGGUCCUGGUUGACGGAGCCCGGGUUCUUGAUGUCCUGCCACCGCCGGAUCUCGACGUAGUGGAAGAGGAUGAACUCGAUGACGAAGAGCGUGGAGGAGGAGGCGAAGUAGGUCUCCUUGCCGGCGUCGUACCACUCGGGCGCGUUCAGCAGCCCCGCCUUGGUCAGCACCUCCGGGAUCAGCAUCCCCGCCACCCCCAGCAUCGCCCACCGCCCGUUCACCAGCUCCGCCUGCACGAACCACCGCAGGUCCUCCGGGUCCUCCGCCAGCGCCAGCGGGUCAAAACCAUUGUCACCCGCCAGACUGCACACGUAUCGUCCGUCAGUACGGUCGUAAACAUAUGUAACAGCUGCGUGCAUGGGCACGACGGAAGUGGUGUGGCGUGUCGUGUGGUCUGCUCACCUGCCGUCGAGGUAGGCAGGGGACUGGAGGCCGGGGAGCCAGGACCCCUUGGCCUGGACGGCGACGUCGCGGCGGGUGGACUUGGCGAGCCCGACGCGGCCGGAGUCGCCCAGGAACCGGGGGCUCGACGCUGACGCCGCCGGCCGGAGAGCGGCCACGGGAGCGCGGGCACUGACCGACGACAUCUUCUGCUACUCCUGACUAGAGAGCGCGUACGGCAGGAGAGUGAGAGUGCGCGCGUGUGUGUGUGGUGGUUCUGCCUCUCCGCACCUGCGCUUGGCCCUUUGUAUUGGGCUGCGCUUCGGUGAUUUGUGGGUGUGGUGAGCUGGGCCCCGGAGGUCGAGAUGGACGGCGUGUGUUGGCGCCACCGCGUCGUCCGACGGCUGCGAUGCGUUUGCGCCUG